rnacentral:lncRNA from 1 species
UUCCUUAUGUUUAAAUCAAUUGUAUUGUGGGAGACAACAAAUAAAUGGUUUUUUCCCAUUUACUUCUUUCCACAGUCUCCUGUCUCUGUAUGUACAGAGACUAGAAUCUUUCUGCAGUUUCUCUAGGGAUGAUAAGAGCAAGGCUUUUUUCCUCUACAAAUAUAUACGACUUUGCUGAAUUAAUAGAAACAUGGAAAAGGAGGACGAGCAGUAAAUGCAACUCACAGGACUGGUUUUGCUCUUUCUCUGUUUUCCUUGUGGAGAGAAAAUUCCUUCAAGAGGCCAAUAUCAAUGUAUCCUGCUGUUGCUUUCAGCUCCAUCAUCUCUACUCAAAGGCUCUUAAGAGAACAGUUUGCCUGCACACCUGGAGAUCUCACAUCUGUGUUUGCAGUCUGGGAGCCAACAGCUGCCUGAUUGUAUUCACUCAGAAUGGAGAGUUCCUGCUUCAUGGGAAACCACGGUGACCCUGACUGUGGCAUCGUCACAACUUCUCCAGUCGAAUGAGAGCAGUUGGGUGGGCAGCUGGCCACAGAGACAGCCCACCACAAUCACAACAGAAAUUGUUACACUUGAGGAAUCACUCUGGGUAAGUACAGCUACUCAGCUUGCUUAUUUUUACCACUCCAAGCUAUAUGUGCUUAGUUGCCAUGUUUUGCUUCUGCAGACAAAUUGCCACCCAAUUGUUUCUACAACUGUGCAGAUGUACAGUGAACUCAGAAGACAUUCAGAGAAGCUGCAGCUCACUCUGUUCCCAUCAAUAAGCUGCUUUCCUGCAGCUUCUGCAAACUGCUAAUUCAAUUUAGAAUUAAAAGCUUUCAGAUACCUUUAAGGUAAAAUUAAAGAUCAGAUAUUGGCAUGCAAAGUUUGAAUUGCUUCCCCAUCUAGGACCCAGGUUUGUUUUUUUUUCCAGAGACCUUUUAAUAUUUUGUCCUAUGCUGACCUAAAGGAGU